UGGGGAAUAUUGGACAAUGGGCGAAAGCCUGAUCCAGCCAUGCCGCGUGUGUGAAGAAGGUCUUCGGAUUGUAAAGCACUUUAAGUGGGGAGGAAGGGCAGUAAGCGAAUACCUUGCUGUUUUGACGUUACCGACAGAAUAAGCACCGGCUAACUCUGUGCCAGCAGCCGCGGUAAUACAGAGGGUGCAAGCGUUAAUCGGAAUUACUGGGCGUAAAGCGCGCGUAGGUGGUUCGUUAAGUUGAAUGUGAAAGCCCCGGGCUCAACCUGGGAACUGCAUCCAAAACUGGCGAGCUAGAGUAGGGCAGAGGGUGGUGGAAUUUCCUGUGUAGCGGUGAAAUGCGUAGAUAUAGGGAGGAACACCAGUGGCGAAGGCGACCACCUGGGCUCAUACUGACACUGAGGUGCGAAAGCGUGGGGAGCAAACAGG
rnacentral:rRNA from 1 species